rnacentral:rRNA from 1 species
GUGGGGAAUAUUGGGCAAUGGGCGAAAGCCUGACCCAGCAACGCCGCGUGAAGGAAGAAGGUCUUCGGAUCGUAAACUUCUAUCCUUGGUGAAGAUAAUGACGGUAGCCGAGAAGGAAGCCCCGGCUAACUACGUGCCAGCAGCCGCGGUAAUACGUAGGGGGCAAGCGUUGUCCGGAAUGAUUGGGCGUAAAGGGCGCGUAGGCGGCCUGGUAAGUCUGGAGUGAAAGUCCUGCUUUUAAGGUGGGAAUUGCUUUGGAUACUGGCGGGCUUGAGUGCAGGAGAGGUAAGUGGAAUUCCCGGUGUAGCGGUGAAAUGCGUAGAGAUCGGGAGGAACACCAGUGGCGAAGGCGACUUACUGGACUGUAACUGACGCUGAGGCGCGAAAGUGUGGGGAGCAAACAGGAUUAGAAACCCCUGUAGUCC